CAGAGAGUUUGAAGGACGAGAAGUCUGGAGAGCCUUCCAGGAGAGAAUCCGUUGCGGAGAAGUACUAAGCCCGAGAGUUUGAAGGACGACAAGUCGCUGCCCGUCUCCAAAGAACCUUCCCGCCCAAGCUCUGUUGUUGAGAGUGUGAAAGACGAGCAUGAGAAACCAGAAAGCGUUAGGGACGAAAAGUCUGGAGAGCCUUCCAGGAGAGAAUCUGCUGCGGAAAGUGUAAAACCCGACAGCUUGAAAGAUGAAAAGUCUAUACCUGUCUCUAAAGAACCUUCCCGCCCAAGUUCUGUUGCUGAAAGUGUGAAAGAUGAGCA